AAAGGCAGUGCCUCUGUUGACACUGUUCGCGUGACUCGUCCUGGAAAGAUAGCAUGCGGCGGCUCGGCUGGGCGUGGACGUGCCUUUGCGUGGCCGCGACGGUGGCGCUGCUCCCGACGGCCGAGGCGACGCGGGUGCGGUUGCGCCGCGGGGGGUAUGAGGGCGUGGUCGUCGCCAUUUCGCCGGAAGUCUCCGAGUCGCAGGAGCUCGUCGAAGCCAUCAAAGACAAGAUUAAGGUUGCCUCUAGACUUCUCUUCAACGCCACCCGCAAAACCGUCUUCUUUAAAAAAGUGACCAUCCUGCUACCGAGGACAUGGCGCGACACGAAACCCGACUCUUACAGAGGGACAUUCUCUUACGAGGAGAGCGACAUCCGCGUUGCUCCUGCCAGCAGCGUCUUUGGCCACCAGCCCUACACUCUACAGCCGGAAGGGUGCGGCAGACCAGGACAAUUUUCUCACUUUACGCCAGAAUUUCUCACUAACAAGAACCUCAGCUACGUGUGGGGGCCGCCUGAGAGGCUGAUGGUGUUCGAAUGGGCCAAGCUGCGCUGGGGCGUGUUCGAGGAGAUCGGCUACCGAGACGACGAAACGUUUCCGCUGUAUUAUCGAAGAUACUGUGACGAAGAAGACGACGACGGCGACGAUGACGGAGAAGGAGAAAACAGGGAGGACCGUCUGACUGCCAACCUCUGCGUAGUUGGCAAUCUCGAAGGCCGAUAUGUAGAUUCCAAGACGGGGGGCGAGAACUGCAGCCGGCGGGAGGAAGAGUGCGACUUCCUGGUGAAGGAUUUUCGAGCGAAUCUGUGGCCAGUGUCCCUCGACGAGGAAGCGCGGCGAAGCAGGGACGUCGCUUUCUGUGACGACGAGGAAGGCUCCGCGCACCGCCACAACAGCCAGGCGCCCAACAAGCACAACCUCCGCUGCAAGGGCGAGUCCUGGUGGGCCGUCAUGAGGCGGCAUCCGGACUUCAAGGACACUCUCUCCAGGCCAAGCGCGCCCAAGGAGACUCAGUUCAAGGUGGUACAGCAAAUCGACGCCCGGGUGGUCUUGGUGCUCGAUCUGACCCAGCCGAGGACCGCCGACGGCAGCCUCGCCUUCGCCCGCCGCUGGCUUUACGAGGGCGCGGAGGCCGGGUCCUAUGUGGGCGUCUUGCUCGUCCUGCCGGGAAGCAGCAGGGAAGUAGUAAUGGUCGCCCAGAUGACUCGUGUUACUCUGUCAUCGCGCCUGGAGAUCAUAAGGGAUCUGGAGAAGAAAGCUGCGAGGGGCGAGGUGAGCUCAGAACCGACAGCCAGCGUCAGGAAGGGCUUGCAGGAGGCUUUGAAGAUGUUAACUGACACCCAUUUUAACGCUGUCAUCAUUGUGGUAAGCAGUAAUAAGGUGUAUAAAAAAGAUCUCGUUGACUUUGAUCCCAAUUGGACCACGCCUGUUUAUACAAUCUCCUCAGUAGCGUCGGAUGACUUGCGAGAGUUCGUGGAAAAAACGAAAGGUAAAUUCGUUUUCCUAACAGACCCUCUGGACGAAGAUAAACAGAGGGAACUCGUCGUCGAUGUGGCCAGAUACGUUUCUCAGCCUCGUGGUCCUCGCAGUGAAACUCCUAUUUCCUUUCAAAACGAGAUGAUCUGGGGCAAGACGGAAGGCUCGAACGUGCAGACCGAUGGCACACCAGGGACCUACGUCUUCCGCUUAAGCACUAACAACCGGAACCACGUGCUGGAGCCGCCGACAGUGGCGCAUUCUAACGGCAAACUGUACCAGGCCAAACUACAGGCUGGGUCGUCCUUGAACCAGUGGACAGUGGUUGUUGACGAUGCCAGCACAAGUGAACCUGGGGCAUGGGUAUGGCGACUCAACACGACAGACGACGCAGAUUCGUUCGUGAGACUGGAAACGCUUCUGGAGCCCAAGGGACCCGUGGUGCAGGUGGAGUCCUGGAUCGAGCCAACCUCGGGACCGGACGGCGUGACCGGGGCAUCUGCCGGGGCUCUCCUGUACGCGAAGGUGACGCAGGGUGAAAUGCCAGUCCUGGGCGCUGUCGUCGAAGCCAUUGUGAGCAGCGCAGAAAACAGCAGUGUGAGGCAGCGUCUACGGCUCUUCGAUACCGGCCACGGCGCUGAUGCUCAGACGAAGGACGGUCUGUAUUCCUGCUUCGUCCCUCCCUUCGCGAACGGCAACUUAUCCGUCGAGGUCAAGGUGAUGAGCAACAACGAGACAAAGGUUCGACAAGCAGUCCAAGAUGGACUCUCCCUGAAGCCGUCGAGAAAAAUGUGCUGUGGCAGUUCAUUUCCCUCUGCGACCAAGACGCGUCCUGUGCCCUAUAUGAAUAGGAGGAGCCAUGCAGGGACAUUCGCGAUCAAUUACAACCUCAGAGACGACCGCAUUCCGCCCUUCCGCGUGACUGACCUCCGGGCGAAGGGGGUGGCACUGAGUGGCUUCUACGUACGCGUGCGACUGGCGUGGACGGCGACCGGCGAUGACUGCGACUUCGGCCAAGCCUCCCGCUACACCGUGCGGGCCAGUCGGCGCCGAGGCCCAGUGCAGGCCGAGACGUGCGUCGACGCCUGCUCGAAGCUGGAGCCAGUGUUCGAAGCCGGGGCCGCGUCGUCGAAAGCGGGCCAGAGGGUGACUGCCAGCGUCUACGUUCCAAACUACGGGGCCACCCAUUUCUUCUUCGCCGUCACCGCCUAUGACGAGGUUGGCAACGCCAGCCCGCCCUCGAACGUGGUGGCCGUGGGGAUGCGGGGCAGCCUGUACCGGGACUGGCGGCGAUGGGCGCAGAUCCUCCAGUGGGUCUUGCUCAGCGUGUUGGCAGCGGUGGGACUCGCCUUGCCGUUGCUCCUGGCCUGUGACCGACACCAAUGCAGGUUCCUUUGGCAGGACGAAACUCCUCCCCGCUAGUUGUGAGCCGCUUGACGGAAGCCAGACUUAUAAACUAUCAAGAAAAGCGAGGGAGCUGUAGUGCAGCCUCCACGUCUCAGAACCAUGAUAAAACCUCCCUCGAUGUUGAAGCUUUUUAGUCUAGUCCUCAGGUGACUAGCUCAAACAGAUGCAAGGGAGGCGUGGUGGGAAGGACAAAUUACUGAAGGGGGCGUGGUAGUCAAAGGGAUGAGAACCACUGGUCUAGUGUCUGGAGUCCCGACAGCGGCCGGAUCUGGCUCACGUUGGCCGGAGAGAAGAGACCAGCGCGAGCUGACUGGCCAAAACAGCUGAUCUAGUACGAAGUGAUCAAGGUCGUGUGUGAUAGACAUAACAAUGAACGAAGGUGAUUUCCACAGUAAUGUGACAGUAGAUAAAGGUUAUACUACAUUAGCAGUUACAUGGUUCAUAAGCAAAUUAUAACAACAUGAUAACAAAGUUACUAGAUUUAUAAUAAGAAGGUCUCCACCAUGGACAGUUAAGUCAAACAAAAAAGAGAAGAAUAUCGGGUAUUAUUGCAAAAAGAUGCAACCAUCCUAACCUUAAAACAAACUUACGAUCUUCAAUGAGUUUUAAUCACAAUCGAAGAACUGGUGAGAUAUUUUGCUUCUGACAUAUAUAUAUAUAUAUAUAUAUAUACAUAUAUAUACACACACACACACAUACACACACACACACACACACACAUAUACAGACACAGAGAGAGACUGCAACAAAAGGUUCCUAUCUGUGUUUAUGGAGCUUUGAUUACCAUACCUAUUUUGUUGUGUUA
rnacentral:misc_RNA from 1 species